GAGUCUCUCUCCGCUUCCUGAUCAUCGUGUGAUCCACUUCCCUCCACCCGACUCUUCCACCAUGAUGUUAACCCUGAUUGUGAGCCUGGAAGAAUGGAGCCUGCUGUCUAUGGACUAAAACCUCUGAAAUGUAUGCUGCAACAGACAACGCUGGAGUCUGGCCUAACAGAUGCUUUUCUAAAGAGUGGAGUUCACUUGAAAGUCAGAAGAGGCCAGAAGUUUGGAACUUUCAAA